rnacentral:lncRNA from 1 species
UGCCAUCAUUCCCCCCUGCAUGGAUUUCCUGCCUCUUUCUUUUUUGUCUUCCUACAGCCUUCCUAUCCUGCAAGGGUCAGCUCAAGUCUCAGUUCUGUGGCACUCGUCAUUCUUUCUAGUUCACGGGAUUUUCUCUCUCUUCUGAACUCCUAUAGAAACGAGAACCAGUGAUAUCACAAGAAUGAUGUCUUGACUUGAAGAGCUUGGCUUCUAUUUAAAGUGAGGCAGAGUUGCACAAAGUCAUCGACCUCCUUCUCUCUCUUCCGGAGCCACUGAAAGUCCAAUGGCAAGACAAAAGUCAGGAUGACUAGUGAUGGCCUGGGAUGCAGUGGAUGACCUUGAUGUCUUCAGUGUCUGACUUCAGUGUCUCUAGGUGCUUCAUAAUGCCUGCUUCAGUCACCUUUAUGGCUGUUGCCCUCUGCCCACUCCACUAAGGACAGGAACUAGGGCACAUUUAUCUGAAACGGAUUUGUGUGAUGGAAACAUUUCCAGCUGUACCAGUGCUGUAACAUCUACACCCAAAUUAGCUCAUGAGUCAAGAUAUCUCGCUUGGUUAUUACAUUUAUUGCAUCAAUUAUCUACAAAUGAAAUACAGCUGCGUUGUCUAUUGCCCCAGUUUCAAGCAUCCACUUAAUGAGCUUCAGAACUGGUGCAUUUGAUGACAACAAAUAAAAAGAGAACUUAAUCUUCCCUUGUAC